UCACUGUUAACUGCCAGAGAGGAUUUUUUAGAAGUGGUGGAAGUAUGUGUUAAGAGGAAGGCCCUGAAAGAAGAGUAUAUGGAGACAAGGAAGUUUUCCAGCUAACUAAUUUUCCAGUGUUUAUUUGAAAUAACGGAGUAUACUGCGGAGGCAUCCAAGUAUGGAAAAAGAAGCUACCUUAACACUGUUAUGCAUUCUGCCUCCAGAUCUUUGUUGGUGUACAAAGUAAAUCUUGGCCUUCCAACUUCAGUGCAUAAAUACUGUUGCAGCUAAGA